AAAAAAAAAAAAAAAAAAGAACCUUAAAUGUAAACCUGCACAGAUUAUCAUAACGAUCAUAAAAUUUAUUCCUGAACAUAACUAUAAAGUAUUAUCACUAAAGUUGACUUUAUCAAUAUGAAAUACUUAUUUCUCUACUUAACCCAGGGUAAAUCAUUUAAUUUAGCCAAAUAAGAAGAACAAAUUUACCUUCUUGGGAGGGCCAAAAUGCUGUUGGGACCACAGCACAGUUGGAGUGCAAAGACUGAGAUGUGUGCUGUGAGUGCUAAGUUCUUGCAGGAGAUUCUGUGCAUACGCAGGUGAGCAUGGUCGGCCUUCUUUUUCACUUUAGUUUUUGUACCAUGUCAGUGGGGCACACCAGGACUGUGCCUUUCAGCUUCGAAUUCAGUUCACAAAGCAGCGGACCAUGGCAUUUUAAAGUCUUCAUCCUUGGGUUUAUUAUUAUGGUUUUUUGUAACCUACUUUAACAUUUUGUAGUGAGAUUUGGAUAGAAAGAAUUCUGCACCUACAAUCAGGUUGAAGGCACUAUCUUCCCCUACUUGAUUUGGAUUGAAGUAUCUUUAUUACUGUUCAGUUGGUUCCCAUGUCUUUUCAUAUUUCAUGGAUUUUAGGCCACAAUUUAGUAGUCAUACUGAUAAAUUCAUAAUUCAGUAGGCUUUAUAUUGAUAAACUUAAUGGAACAAUCACCACUAUAGAUACGAUGGCCUCAUUACAGGGAAGGUAUGACUUCAUAAAAAGUUGAUCGGUCAGGAUGGGACUGUGUUAUGCUGCAGUAAUAAGCCUCAGAUCUCUGGUUUAACAUGACAAAGGCUCAUUUCCAUUCAUGCCAGGUGUCCACACAGGUCAGCUCUGCCCCAUGUCUGCUGCUCUCAGGGCAGAACAAGGGACCACAGAUCCCACUGAUAAGAGAAAGGAACUCAAGAUGGUCUUGUACCAUCAAUGUGCUGCUCAUCCCAGAAGUGAGACACCUGACCUAUAGUAAUUCACCACAUCAUAAAGGGGCCAGAGCCUUUGGGGGCCUGUGGACCAGGAGGGAGAGGAGAACCACCAGCUAUGCUAGGGAUUAUACAAUCUGCUUAUAUCUUAAAGCAUUUGAGGUCAAUCAGAAGUUAUUUUGAUUAACUUUUUCUAAUUCUCAUUAUAGAAUUUUAGUGGAAAACCAUAUAGUCAAUCCUACAGCAGUCACUGUUACCCUGUCACACACAUUCAGGUGGCUUCACCAUAUUAUUACAUGUAGCCCUGACAGUCAUUCUCUUACCCUCGUUUUUCAGUGCCCAAAAUCGUUUUUGGAAAAAAGUGCAGACCACAGAUCCUACCGUGGCUUGUGUUGUUCUCCCAGGCGCAUCCUCAACCUUGGCAAAAUAAAUCUCCACGCCAACUGAGACUGCCUCCAUCACUGGUUUCAUGGUACUCUCCAGGCGUUGUCCUGGGACAUCCUCCCAACCCUGUGAGGGAGGCAGCCAGGCCCCCAGUACAGACUUCACCCAACACCAACAGAGAGGUGACAGGGCCCUCUCAAGGCCACACAGCUGCCUGAACGUGAAUCUGCGUCCUGACUCCUGGUCGGUCUGAGUGACGACAGUGAUGCACUAGGACAAAUGUGUUACUUUUUAUCUGGGACUGGAUCAUAAAGGCACCAAAACAUUUGAUGACUCGUGUCCACAAGACACUCAGUGAAAACUGUUGAAAUGAAGGGAAAAAAAUGAGGGAAAGUAUCCUGAAGCCUGUGAGUGGGAUUCAGAAUCAACGUCAUCCCCAGCGAUAGGUGAGCAUCGUUUUGUAAGAGCUCCAAACGACAUGGCGAGCAGUUGAGCCGACUCUGAGGGUCACAGAGGUGAGCAGCCCAUCUUGUUUCUGGGAGGUUCGUCCAGGGAUGAAUGAGGCAAGCCCACAGGUCCCUACCUUGGGUGCCUCCCUGUUCUCCAAGGUUCACUCUGCUUCUCCUGAAGCCGCGGGGAUGAUGCUUGUGUGGAAAACUUGCUGCUAAAGGCAGCCUGAGACUCUGGACAGAGCAGAAGCAGAAGCAGAAGUCAUCAGCUCAAGCUCCCCCAGGGCCUCCUGCUGUCCUGACACAAGGGCCGGGAGGGCCUUUCCUGCGAGGCAGUUCUUUUUGUUUUUUUCUUUGUUUGUUGAGACAGGGUCUC